UAUAUAUAUAUAUAUAUAUAUCUUCAUUUCAUGCUUUAUCUUUGAAGAGAGGCAGUUUUUGUAGGAGGCACAAGAGAUUUUGCAUAUGCAAUAGGUAAUGCAAUCAACUUCUUUGAUUUGCUCACAUAUGCUCUCUUUGUGAAGUUGUUGUAGUCAUUGGCUUCAAUCUCAUCUAGUAUUUUGCGGUACAAGACCAAAGAUGCCCAUACAGGGAAUCUACUAGCUGAGCUCAAUUCUGUCACGCCUUUCUCUGCCUCAUCAAAGAACUUUCUUGCCCUAUGUAUUUGUUUCUUCAUAAAGAUUCUCCAUUUAUCGGUCACCCUUCCAGCAAAUAUAUCUUCAUCGGAUAGACCUGCCUGUGCUAAUUCAUCUUGAGGCAAGUAGACUCUUCCUCUUCUGGCAUCUUCUCCAACAUCUCUGAGUAUGUUAGUUAAUUGAUUUGCGAUCCCCAGAGCCAAAGCAGCAUUAUAUACGCUCUCUGUUGUUGCCUUUGAUUCAGGGGCGAUACCCAUAAUUGGAACACUCAUCAACCCAACCGUACCAGCAACAUAAUAACAAUAAAGGUAUAGUUCGUCGAAGUUUUUGUAUCUCGAUUUUCUCAAGUCCAUACGCAUUCCUUCAAUCAUAUCUCUGAAUGGCUGAA
rnacentral:misc_RNA from 1 species